AUCGCUUCUCGGCCUUUUGGCUAAGAUCAAGUGUAGUGAUAUGUAUAGGCAUACUUGAGUUUAGUAACUUAAAGGAUUGUUUGUUACCUUUCCUGAUUGUACAAAUGUAUAGGCAUCCUCGGGUUUAGUAUGUUAAAGCAAUGUUCUAUAUAUUUAGAAUGCUUGAU
rnacentral:snRNA from 1 species